UUGAUAUGUGGUGUGUGAGGUAGUAAUGUGGUGUGUGAGGUAGUAAUGUGGUGUGUGUGUGAGGUAGUAAUGUGGUGUGUGUGUGAGGUAGUAAUGUGGUGUGUGUGUGUGAGGUAGUAAUGUGGUGUGUGAGGUAGUAAUGUGGUGUGUGUGUGAGGUAGUAAUGUGGUGUGUGUGUGAGGUAGUAAUGCGGUGUGUGUGUGAGGUAGUAAUGCGGUGUGUGUGUGAGGUAGUAAUGCGGUGUGUGUGUGAGGUAGUAAUGCGGUGUGUGUGUGUGAGGUAGUAAUGCGGUGUGUGUGUGUGAGGUAGUCAUGCGGUGUGUGUGUGAGGUAGUCAUGCGGUGUGUGUGUGUGAGGUAGUCAUGCGGUGUGUGUGUGUGAGGUAGUAAUGUGGUGUGUGUGUGUGUGUGAGGUAGUAAUGUGGUGUGUGUGUGUGUGUGUGAGGUAGUAAUGUGGUGUGUGUGUGUGUGUGUGAGGUAGUAAUGUGGUGUGUGUGUGUGUGAGGUA